rnacentral:rRNA from 1 species
CGAAUGGCUCAUUAAAUCAGUUAUCGUUUAUUUGAUAGUUCCUUUACUACAUGGUAUAACUGUGGUAAUUCUAGAGCUAAUACAUGCUUAAAAUCUCGACCUUGCGGAAGAGAUGUAUUUAUUAGAUAAAAAAUCAAUGUCUUCGGACUCUUUGAUGAUUCAUAAUAACUUUUCGAAUCGCAUGGCCUUGUGCUGGCGAUGGUUCAUUCAAAUUUCUGCCCUAUCAACUUUCGAUGGUAGGAUAGUGGCCUACCAUGGUUU